GUUUGUUUGAUGUGGUUUCAAGCAGCUCUGCUUCAGUUGCAUAUUGUGCCACCAAGGGGUGUCGCUCCAGCAUCAAUGCAGAGGAUCACUUGCUAAUCUCCAGAGCCUCUAUCUCCUGCCGCCUCUGUCUCCUGACAACAGUUUGGCCGCCCUGGCCAAUCUCUGGAAUUAUGGGAUAGCCUCAAUGUGCCCACAGUUUAUAAUCCCGAGCACCUUGCCACCAGCUAGGAAAACGCAUGCUUAUGUGCAUACCUCUCUUGCAGCCACGGUCAAACUUGCACAUGUUUCGUCGGCCUUCCAUGCAUGCAGACAUUCAUCACCAAGUUCAAUGGCUAUUUGAUGGACAUCUCAAAUGUGUGUGAUGUUAGGGCUACUUUGCAGUAACAAAGUUAUUAGGAUUGGAGUGUAUGUUCUGUUUGAAUAGCCCGAUGUGAUCGGUGAUCCAUAUUGGAGUUCAGGGCUUCACGCAAAGGCAAAUUGCACAAGGUUAACUAAGGUAAUGGCUUUUUGACAUUUUUCACUGGGGUGAAUGCAGUUGCAGGACCUCUGAAUGCGAGUCUUCUUAUCACACUGAUUUCUUAAAUUCCACUUGCAUUACAUCUCCAUCUUUAUACAAAUUACUCUAUUUUAGCGGGACUACAGAACAUGGCGAAGCAUGCAGAUUAAAGAAAAAUAGAUGUCCAGACUAUUCACAAUGAUGUUGCAACUUUUUUAGGAGGUUUUAUAAUUUAAUGGAAAACCUUGCUAUUGUAUAUAGAGCUUGUCUGCCUUAUCUUCCUCACAUAUGUGUACCAACCUGAAGAAAACAAUAAGGCAAAGACCAAACAAGGCUUGUUCCCCUAUAAUAUGUACCAGAUCUGUUUUUUGAACUUGGCUAAAUUUGUUGGAUUCAUAAUCAUGGCUAAUAGUAAUAUUAAUAUAUGUUGGCUGAUAAUAAAAAUAUUUCAUGGUAAAUAGGGAUGGUUUUGUACUAAUAAACAGCUAGAACCUAUAAUUCUGUUCUUUUUUUUUUGAGGAAAACCGUGGAGCCUUGCUCCCCAGUAAAAUAAAUUAAGACAAAAGAGAGAGUACAGGAGUUAGCUAGCGGCUAACUGAACAGAGAAGAGAAAAAACUCAAAACUUACCUAUGACUGCCCUAAGGAAAAGCAAGAGAAGACAGAGGCAGGGAGGAAGUGAGGAGUUACAGGUGAAAUUUACAAAGAUCAGAUCUGGUUCAACCAAUCCAUAACUAAAAAUCUUUUAUGUUGGGGGAGCCUGUAAAGAUGAAGAUUAACUUCAGUCUUGAAGAUUCUCUUCCAGCCAUUCAGUGAAGGUGGCUUGUGAUUGAAAAUGUAUUCAUUCCUCUCCUUCCAAAUAGACCAAGCUGCUAUCAUUACCAGAUCCAAGAAGAAAGGCCCAACAAAAUUGUUUUUCUGCUGUAAAAUCAUCUGUCCCACAUCUUGCUGUAUAUUCCAUUGUAUACCAAUUGAGUACCAUCGUGAAACACUUGCAGAGCAUUUAAAAAACAAAUGCAGAGAUGUCUCUGUAACUAGGAGUGGACAAAGAACACAACAGUAACCCUCCUCUAGGUGCAUAUUUCUUCGAAGCAACAUACCUCUCGUGUUAAGUCUGUCCACCAACAGCAGCCACAUGAAAAAUUUGAUCUUUGGCAUGCAUUUGGCUUUCCACAACCAAGCAAAGAUCACUGGAGGAACAAUAUCUUUCUUUAAAGUUCUCAUUAUAAGCCAUUCUUGAUGUGUAUAAACCACUUUGCCAUUUUGUUACCCAUACAUCAGUGAGAUAUCCUUGGUCUCUAUAUCCUCCCACUAUCUCAUUGAACUGUUGAAACUCGUUGAAAGCUUCCCUUGACAUGGGUAGCCUAAACAGGUUUAACAGAUUGUCAGUCAGGCUAGCUAUUGACGGUCCUUAAGUAUCAAAUUUAAUUAUCAAAUAAACAAAGAAA